rnacentral:tRNA from 1 species
GUGGGUAGUUCAGUGGUAGAGUACCUGCCUAGUGUACAUGAUGCCCUGGGUUCAGUCCCCAGAAUCACA